UCAAUAAGCGGAGGAAAAGAACCUAACAAGGAUUCCCCUAGUAACUGCGAGUGAAGCGGGAAAAGCUCAAAUUUAAAAUCUGGCGGUCUUUGGCCRUCCGAGUUGUAAUUUAGAGAAGCGUCUUCCGCGCCGGACCGUGCACAAGUCUCCUGGAAUGGAGCGUCAUAGAGGGUGAGAAUCCCGUCUUUGGCACGGAUGCCUGUGCUUCUGYGAUGCGCUCUCGAAGAGUCGAGUUGUUUGGGAAUGCAGCUCAAAAUGGGUGGUGAACUCCAUCUAAAGCUAAAUAUUGGCGAGAGACCGAUAGCGAACAAGUACCGUGAGGGAAAGAUGAAAAGCACUUUGGAAAGAGAGUGAAACAGUACGUGAAAUUGUUGAAAGGGAAACGCUUGAAGUCAGUCGCGUCGACCGAGACUCAGCCUUGCCUUGGCUUGGUGUACUUCUCGGCCCGACGGGUCAGCAUCAAUUUUGCCCCUCGGAUAAUGGCAAGGGAAAGGUGGCACCUUUGCGGGUGUGUUAUAGUCUCCUGUCGCAUGCGAGGGAUGGGAUUGAGGAACUCAGCGCGCACCUUGGUGUCGGGGCUUCGGCCCACGUCACGCGCUUAGGAUGCUGGCGUAAUGGCUUUAAACGACCCGUCUUGAAACACGGACCAAGGAGUCCAACACGCCCGCGAGUGUUCGGGUGGAAAACCCGUGCGCGCAAUGAAAGUGAAAGUUGGGACCUCUGUCGUGGAGGGCACCGACGCCCGGACCAGACCUUCUGUGACGGAUCUGCGGUAGAGCGUGUGUGUUGGGACCCGAAAGAUGGYGAACUAUGCCUGAAUAGGGUGAAGCCAGAGGAAACUCUGGUGGAGGCUCGUAGCGAUUCUGACGUGCAAAUCGAUCGUCAAAUUUGGGUAUAGGGGCGAAAG
rnacentral:rRNA from 1 species